CACAGAACUAUGUCUGUGAGUGGCAUACUGCUCAGUAACACGUAGCUAACCUAACCUUAGGACGUUUAUACCCCCGAGAAAUUGGGGCUAAUAAGCGAUAGAUAUGAUGUCCUGGAAUGGUAUCAUGUCUAAAGGUAUCCCAUACAUGUUUGGAAUAUGCCUAAGGAUGGGGCUGCGGCUGAUCAGGCUGUUGGUGAGGUAAUGGCUCACCAAACCAUUGACCAGUACGGGCCAUGAGAGUGGUAGCCCGGAGAUGGACACUGAGACAAGGGUCCAGGCCCUACGGGGCGCAGCAGGCGCGAAACCUCCUCAAUGCACUAAAGUGCGAAGGGGUUACCUCGAGUGCCAUCUGAAAAAGGUGGCUUUUCCUUGGUCUAAAAAGCCUAGGGAAUAAGAGGGGGGCAAGACUGGUGUCAGCUGCCGCGGUAACACCAGCCCCUCGAGUGGUGGGGAUGAUUAUUUGGCCUAAAGCGUCCGUAGCCGGCCGGGUAAGUUUCCCGUUAAAUCCAACGUCUCAAGCGUUGGACUGCGGGAAAUACUGCCUGGCUAGAGAGUGGGAGAGGUCAGCGGUAUUCUGGGGGUAGGGGCGAAAUCCUUUGAUCCCCGGAGGACCACCAGUGGCGAAGGCUGCUGACUAGAACACGUCUGACGGUCAGGGACGAAAGCUGGGGUAGCGAACCGGAUUAGAUACCCGGGUAGUCCCAGCCGUAAACGAUGCAUGCUAGGUGGUUGGGUUGGCCACGAGCCACCCCAGUGCCGCAGGGAAGCCGUUAAGCAUGCCGCCUGGGAAGUACGAUCGCAAGAUUGAAACUUAA
rnacentral:rRNA from 1 species